UCCGCCCUGGUGUAGAGGCAGCACGCAGGCCUUUGGAGCCUUGAGAGCCGGGUUCGAAUCCUGGGGGCGGAACCG
rnacentral:tRNA from 4 species